rnacentral:rRNA from 1 species
AUACGUAGGUGGCAAGCGUUGUCCGGAUUUAUUGGGUUUAAAGGGUGCGCAGGCGGGAGAUUAAGUCGGCGGUGAAAUUUUGCAGCUCAACUGUAAAAGUGCCUUCGAAACUGGUUUCCUUGAGUGUAGAUGAAGUAGGCGGAAUUUGUGGUGUAGCGGUGAAAUGCAUAGAUAUCACGAGGAACUCCGAUUGCGCAGGCAGCUUACUAAACUACUACUGACGCUCAGGCACGAAGGCGUGGGGAUCAAACAGGAUUAGAUACCCUGGUAGUCCACGCAGUAAACGAUGAUUACUAGCUGUUUGCGAUACAAUGUAAGCGGCUGAGCGAAAGCGUUAAGUAAUCCACCUGGGGAGUACGUUCGCAAGAAUGAAACUCAAAGGAAUUGACGGGG